rnacentral:rRNA from 1 species
UGAUAGAAAUUUAAACACUUUUUAAAGUAUCAAUUGGAGGGCAAGUCUGGUGCCAGCAGCCGCGGUAAUUCCAGCUCCAAUAGCGUAUAUUAAAAUUGUUGCAGUUAAAAAGCUCGUAGUUGAAUUUCUGUUAAAAAUAACCGGUCUGCUUUUAUUAAAAGUGGUAUCUUGGUGUGUUUUUAGUAAUAAUGUCCUUUGAAAUGUUUUUUACUUUAUUGUAAUAAGUCAUUAUUUUGAGGAUUUUUACUUUGAGAAAAUUAGAGUGUUUCUAGCAGGCUUACGCUUUUGAAUACUGCAGCAUGGAAUAAUAAGAUAGGAUUUUAGUUCUACAUUAUUGGUUUUAAGAACUAAAUUAAUGAUUGAUAGGGAUAGUUGGGGGCAUUUGUAUUUAACUGUCAGAGGUGAAAUUCUUAGAUUUGUUAAAGACAAACUACUGCGAAAGCAUUUGCCAAAGAUGUUUUCAUUAAUCAAGAACGAAAGUUAGGGGAUCGAAG